rnacentral:rRNA from 1 species
AGCAGCCGCGGUAAUUCCAGCUCCAAUAGCGUAUAUUAAAGUUGCUGCAGUUAAAAGGCUCGUAGUUGAAUUUCGGGAUCGAUAUAUCGGUCGUGCCUCGGUACGUACUGGUAUUUUCGGUUUCUACCUUCUGACGAACCUUGAUGUCAUUAAUUUGGUGUCUUGGGGAAUCAGGACUGUUACUUUGAAAAAUUAGAGUGUUUAAAGCAGGCUCACGCUUGAAUACAUUAGCAUGGAAUAAUGAAAUAGGACGUUUGAUUCUAUUUUGUUGGUUUCUAGGAUCGACGUAAUGAUUAAUAGGGAUAGUUGGGGGCAUUAGUAUUCAAUUGUCAGAGGUGAAAUUCUUGGAUUUAUUGAAGACUAACUACUGCGAAAGCAUUUGCCAAGGAUGUUUUCAUUAAUCAAGAACGAAAGUUAAGGGAUCGAAGACGAUCAGAUACCGUCGUAGUC